GAUGAACGCUGGCGGCGUGCCUAACACAUGCAAGUCGAACGGAACUUCUUCGACAGAAUUCUUCGGAAGGAAGUUGAUUAAGUUUAGUGGCGGACGGGUGAGUAACGCGUGAGUAACCUGCCUUUGAGAGGGGAAUAACUUCCCGAAAGGGAUGCUAAUACCGCAUGACGCAUAUUUAUCGCAUGGUAGAUAUGCCAAAGAUUUAUCGCUCAAAGAUGGACUCGCGUCCGAUUAGCCAGUUGGCGGGGUAACGGCCCACCAAAGCGACGAUCGGUAGCCGGACUGAGAGGUUGAACGGCCACAUUGGGACUGAGACACGGCCCAGACUCCUACGGGGGGCAGCAGUGGGGGAUAUUGCGCAAUGGGGGAAACCCUGACGCAGCAACGCCGCGUGAAGGAUGAAGGUUUUCGGAUUGUAAACUUCUUUUAU
rnacentral:rRNA from 1 species